AUUGAACGCUGGCGGCAUGCCUUACACAUGCAAGUCGAACGGCAGCGCGGACUUCGGUCUGGCGGCGAGUGGCGAACGGGUGAGUAAUAUAUCGGAACGUACCCAAGAGUGGGGGAUAACGUAGCGAAAGUUACGCUAAUACCGCAUACGAUCUAUGGAUGAAAGCAGGGGACCGCAAGGCCUUGUGCUCCUGGAGCGGCCGAUAUCUGAUUAGCUAGUUGGUGGGGUAAAGGCCCACCAAGGCAUCGAUCAGUAGCUGGUCUGAGAGGACGACCAGCCACACUGGAACUGAGACACGGUCCAGACUCCUACGGGAGGCAGCAGUGGGGAAUUUUGGACAAUGGGGGCAACCCUGAUCCAGCAAUGCCGCGUGAGUGAAGAAGGCCUUCGGGUUGUAAAGCUCUUUUGUCAGGGAAGAAAAGGCUGUGGCUAAUAUCCAUGGCUCAUGACGGUACCUGAAGAAUAAGCACCGGCUAACUACGUGCCAGCCGCCGCGGUAACAC
rnacentral:rRNA from 1 species